GUUUAUGACUUGCUAUCUGUUCUUACAUUUAAGUGAUUUCUUAAAUGUCUUCUUUAAAUUAUUAUAGAUUAACGAGUUGAUGGAAGACCAUGUGUUUGAGAUUAAGGUAUUCUCAUCUGAGACAAAGGUAAGUACAAUGAAUCCAAGCUUCUAACAGUCAUAAAUACUCUUUGUUCAUACAUGACCAAAAAUAACAACAAAGACAAAAAAUUCCGUGUAUUGGAAACAUUUGAAAUCAUGCUAAAGUAUCUAGACAAUAACAUCACCAACUUUUGUGCCACACACACCUGCAUGGAUGCUUCCUCAGUAAGAUAUGUUAAUAAAAGGACAUUCCGUGAUAUGUAUCUACAUUCUUGCAAUAGUUCAGUAUCAGGUAUGGACAUCUACACUUGCAUUUUUUCCUUUUUUUUUUUUUUGCAGAACAAAUUCAUUAAUUAG
rnacentral:lncRNA from 1 species